GACUGGAAGCUGGUGUGUGUGGGUUGUGUGUUUGUAUGUAUUUACACAUUCAUGUGUUUGUGGUGCAUGUAUGUGUGUCCUUUGAAGAGGCUGGGGAUGAGGGAUAAUAAAUUUGUCUGGUUCCCCUCUCAUCUCUGGGAAUCUGAAUACUACAGGUGGAACUGAAGGCUAAGCUGGGGAGAUUGAAGGGAAGAGACAAACCAGACAAUUUUUUUUUGUUUGCAUUAAAAAUUGAGCAAAAAGCAGGUUACCUUGUUUGCAUGAGGAAUAGAGGUGGUGAUGGGGACCGGUGAGAGAAGAGGAUAGUUUUUAAUAUCUUUUUGUAGGACCAGUUAAAUCACCUGAAACUAUUCUAACUUUUCCCGUGAGACAAAUACCAGUUUAUUGCCAGAUAAUACACACAAUGAUAGCUUCUGCUUUCAUUUCCUGUAACAAAUAAUGCAUCUUUUUUUUCCUCCAAGUUCCAUAUGAUAAAACAAAGAACCUGCCAUGUUGCAAAAUAGUGUGAUAAGGGACAAGUGAAGAACAUCAAAAGGGCCCAUGAGCUGGUCUGGGCCUAGGAACAGAGGCUUAAGGACCAAAUCCUACUGACAGUGGAUUCACUCAAACUUGUAAUGAACAGACCAUUUUUGUAAUAACAAAUACAAUGUACAUCUUGGCAGAAGAUAGAAAGCUUUCAUUUAUGGUUCAGAAAACUUGGUGAACAAGGAAUAAAGUCCCACCCAGUUGUCAA